CGAGUUGGUUAGACAAUCGCUGGUUUACUGAAGCCCUAAACCGUGUUCGCACGACCUAGCGGGACAAGUAAACGAGAGGAAAGUCCGAGCUACACAGGGCAGAGUGCCGGAUAACGUCCGGGAGGCGUGAGCCUACGACUAGUGCAACAGAGAGCAGACCGCCGUGUAAACGGUAAGGGUGAAAGGGUGCGGUAAGAGCGCACCGUGUCGCCGGUAACGGUUGGCAGCAGGGUAAACUCCACUCGUAGCAAGACCAAAUAGGAACUCAAUGGAUGGCCCGUCUAGAGUUCGGGUAGGUUGCUUGAGCGGCGGAGUAAUUCGUCGCCUAGAGGAAUGAUUGUCCACGACAGAACUCGGCUUAUCGACCAACUCAACAA
rnacentral:RNase_P_RNA from 1 species